UGAUAAUAAUCACAUAUUUCUCGUAUAACUCCGCAUUCAAGAAAGGCCACAAGGGCGGAGGUUUCUACAGGAAGCCUAUUCUUCCUAACUACGAUGAUAAGGAAAUGCUUC
rnacentral:ncRNA from 2 species